rnacentral:ncRNA from 1 species
AGUCCUCGUGCCAAACCAAGGUAGAAGUCACAACCAAACAGUCGUGUCUUUAAUUGGUACCUGCGGAAUUGAUGUUCUAAGGGGGCGGUGAUUGACGCUUGAAUUAAUCCUAUACUAGGAGCCGUGAGAUUAAGCCAUCGCGGCAGGUGCUCACGUUAAGCCCACUGACUUUCAUGUCCCUUUCUACUAUCUAGCGAAACCACAGCCAAGGGAACGGGCUUGGAAUAAUUAGCGGGGAAAGAAGACCCUCUUGAGCUUGACUCUAAUCGGGCAGUGUAAGGAGACAUAAGAGGUGUAGAAUAAGUGGGAGAUAUUAGACUUCGGUUUGGUAUCGACAAUGAAAUACCACUGCUCUUAUUGUUUCCUUACUUACUUGAUUAAAUGGAACGUGUAUCAUUUCCUAGCCAUUAUACGGAUAUAAUUAUUAUGUCUUAUGGUAUUGGGUUUUGAUGCAAGCUUCUUGAUCAAAGUAUCACGAGUUUGUUACAUAAUCGCAAACACAUUCUUUAAUGAGAGAAUGCAUUUAUGUAUUAUUGAUUUAAAAAUUUGGUAUAACUCCAAUUACUCAGGU